UUCUUCGUGAACAUAGCAGACUGCUCAGUAACACGUGGAUAACCUGCCCUUAGGACUGGCAUAACCCCGGGAAACUGGGGAUAAUUCCGGAGAGAUCAUAAAUGCUGGAAUGCUUUAUGAUUGAAAGGUUUCGAGCGCCUUAGGAUGGAUCUGCGGCCUAUCAGGUUGUAGUGGGUGUAAUGUACCUACUAGCCUACGACGGGUACGGGUUGUGGAAGCAAGAGCCCGGAGAUGGAUUCUGAGACAUGAAUCCAGGCCCUACGGGGCGCAGCAGUGCGCGAAAACUUUACAAUGCGGGAAACCGUGAUAAGGGAACACUGAGUGCUAGCAUUUAUGUUAGCUGUCCACAUGUGUAAAUAGCAUGUGAUAGCAAGGGCUGGGCAAGACCGGUGCCAGCCGCCGCGGUAACACCGG
rnacentral:rRNA from 1 species